GUGCCAGCCGCCGCGGUAAUACGUAGGUGGCAAGCGUUGUCCGGAUUUAUUGGGCGUAAAGCGAGCGCAGGCGGUUUCUUAAGUCUGAUGUGAAAGCCUUCGGCUCAACCGAAGAAGUGCAUCGGAAACUGGGAAACUUGAGUGCAGAAGAGGACAGUGGAACUCCAUGUGUAGCGGUGAAAUGCGUAGAUAUAUGGAAGAACACCAGUGGCGAAGGCGGCUGUCUGGUCUGUAACUGGCGCUGAGGCUCGAAAGCAUGGGUAGCAAACAGGAUUAGAUACCCUGGUAGUCCAUGCCGUAAACGAUGAGUGCUAGGUGUUGGAGGGUUUCCGCCCUUCAGUGCCGCAGCUAACGCAUUAAGCACUCCGCCUGGGGAGUACGACCGCAAGGUUGAAACUCAAAGGAAUUGACGGGGGCCCGCACAAGCGGUGGAGCAUGUGGUUUAAUUCGAAGCAACGCGAAGAACCUUACCAGGUCUUGACAUCCUUUGACCACUCUAGAGAUAGAGCUUUCCCUUCGGGGACAAAGUGACAGGUGGUGCAUGGUUGUCGUCAGCUCGUGUCGUGAGAUGUUGGGUUAAGUCCCGCAACGAGCGCAACCCUUAUUACUAGUUGCCAGCAUUUAGUUGGGCACUCUAGUGAGACUGCCGGUGACAAACCGGAGGAAGGUGGGGACGACGUCAAAUCAUCAUGCCCCUUAUGACCUGGGCUACACACGUGCUACAAUGGAUGGUACAACGAGUUGCGAGACCGCGAGGUUUAGCUAAUCUCUUAAAACCAUUCUCAGUUCGGAUUGUAGGCUGCAACUCGCCUACAUGAAGCCGGAAUCGCUAGUAAUCGCGGAUCAGCAUGCCGCGGUGAAUACGUUCCCGGGCCUUGUACACACCGCCCGU
rnacentral:rRNA from 1 species